rnacentral:rRNA from 1 species
UGGGGAAUCAUGGUCAAUGGGCGAAAGCCUGAACCUGCGACGCCGCGUGAGUGAUGAAGGUCGUAAGAUCGUAAAACUCUUUUCAGGGAUCUUAAAGCCUGUCUGUCAACAACAGGCGGGUCUGACUCUCCCUGGAAGAAGCCCCAGCCAACUACGUGCCAGCAGCUGCGGUAAUACGUAGGGGGCGAGCGUUAUUCGGAAUUACUGGGUGUAAAGGGUAUGUAGGCGGCCCUUCAAGUCGCGUGUCAAAGUCCAGUGCUCAACGUGGG